rnacentral:rRNA from 1 species
CCUACGGGUGGCUGCAGUGGGGAAUAUUGCACAAUGGGGGAAACCCUGCUGCAGCGACGCCGCGUGAGUGAAGAAGUAUUUCGGUAUGUAACGCUCUAUCAGCAGGGAAGAAAAUGACGGUACCUGACUAAGAAUCCCCGGCCAACUACGUGCCAGCAGCCGCGGUAAUACGUAGGGGGCAAGCGCUAUCCGGAUUUACUAGGUGUAAAGUGAGCGUAGACGGCCUGACAAGUCAGAAGUGAAAGCCCAGGGCUCAACCCUGGGACUGCUUUUGAUACUGGCGGGCUGGAGUGCAGGAGAGGUAAGCGGAAUUCCUAGUGUAGCGGUGAAAUGCGUAGAUAUUAGGAGGAACACCAGUGGCGAAGGCGGCUUACUGGACUGUAACUGACGUUGAGGCUCGAAAGCGUGGGGAGCAAACAGGAUUAGAUACCCGGGUAGUC